rnacentral:rRNA from 1 species
GGAAUAUUGGUCAAUGGGCGCAAGCCUGAACCAGCCAUCCCGCGUGAAGGAAGAAGGCGCUAUGCGUUGUAAACUUCUUUUCCAGGGGGAGAAUUUUUUCGUCGUGACGGGAAUUGACGGUACUCUGGGAAUAAGCAUCGGCUAACUCCGUGCCAGCAGCCGCGGUAAUACGGAGGAUGCGAGCGUUAUCUGGAUUUAUUGGGUGUAAAGGGUGCGUAGGCGGAUUGAUAAGUCAGUGGUGAAAGGCUGCAGCUUAACUGUAGACUUGCCUUUGAUACUGUCAGUCUUGAGUAUGGUCAAGGCAGGCGGAAUGUGUAAUGUAGCGGUGAAAUGCUUAGAUAUUACACAGAACACCGAUUGCGAAGGCAGCUUGCUGGG